AACGCAUAUUGCGCCCGAAGCUUCGGCUUAGGGCAUGCCUGCCUCAGCGUCCUAAAAGGUCGCCCGAUCUUAGAUGAUGUUAGAAGGGCGUGUUGUUAAACUCUACUCUAAUGAGUGCAAAAGUUUACACCUUAUAUAUACAUCAUCUAUGCAUAAAGGCGGAUCUGACCUUCCCAUGGCUAUGAGGCUUUGGGUUGGUUGAAAUUGAGGGCGUAAGCAAGGAACACAUACGUUUCAACUGGACAGGUUCGCAUACAUAUGUGCGCAACACGAAGUUGGAGCGUGGGCUUUGCAAGUGCCAUGCAGGAAGCCACUUCGGUGGCAUAACUACACUUGGACCUGAGCUUAGGCAAGACUACCCGCUGAACUUAA
rnacentral:misc_RNA from 1 species